rnacentral:rRNA from 1 species
UACGUAGGGGGCUAGCGUUGUCCGGAAUCAUUGGGCGUAAAGCGCGUGUAGGCGGCCCGGUAAGUCCGCUGUGAAAGUCGGGGGCUCAACCCUCGGAUGCCGGUGGAUACUGUCGGGCUCGAGUACGGAAGAGGCGAGUGGAAUUCCUGGUGUAGCGGUGAAAUGCGCAGAUAUCAGGAGGAACACCGAUUGCGAAGGCAGCUCGCUGGGACGUUACUGACGCUGAGACGCGAAAGCGUGGGUAGCAAACAGG